ACAGAUGCAGCCUUGCUGGAAUCAGCAAGAACAACCACCCCCAGGACUUCAGCCUCAACAUGAGCUAACAGGCAUUAAAAGCCCUCAGGUUUGAUUGUCUUCACUUAACUGGCAUUAUUAUGGAGUUGUAGACCUGGUGUGGGGAGUAUGGGGAUCAACCUCAGAAGCCUCCAGAGAGAGAUUGGUGGACUCUAGGAGUGUCGAUCUCAGACUGACCAUCGCUGGGGCCACAUCCAAGCAGCAGCCCUUUGUCCAGAGCCAUUUCCUCCACUGGCCUCAGUUUCUGUAGGGCCCAGAUGGUGCUGAAGUCAGAUGCCAAGGGGAAAGUGACUUUACCCACGAGAGAGAUUUUUAAAUAUUCCCCCAACUGCUCCGAUGGGACCGUCUAGUUACAGGAAAACAAGCUCAAGGCUCCCACUGAUUCUACAUUACGGUUAUUUUUGGGGUGACAACAGCUUUGGUCCACCUUGGCCAUUCAGAGAAUGAAUGAGAGGGGGAGAAGACAAACAGAGCCCAUGAUAAUAGGGGUUCACUGGCUGAGUCAUUUGAUGUGCUACCUAUUGUUCUCUUCUGGAGGCUCAGCCUCAACCUGCCUGGGAGCGCUGAUUUUGAUGAUAGUGGUGCAGUCCCAAAAUGAUAAAUACCAUCUCUGAAGCAUGCAUUUCUGAAGAGGUGUACUGCUGCUUUCAUGCUAGCAAAACAUUUCCACUGCAGAGGAAAAAAUUGCCAAUGGCAUGGGUCUUAAAUUCCUUGAAUUCUAAAUUUAUUUAUUUUUUGGAGACAAUGUUAUCUGCCCAGUUUAUUUUAAAGUAAAUUUUACUGACUCAAUUAGACAGCAACACUCAUCCUCAUUAAAGAUCCUGCAGUCCUUUCACAAGAUUAGGGCUGGUGGCUUGGUCACAUUCCAAUGUGGAUAAUUGCAUUCUGCAUUCCUGGAUAUUUCCCUCCACCUUUCCAACCUCAUACCGUCAAAUGCAUUGUUAUUUACCCUUACUGCAAAUCAACAGUCCUGUUGUGGAGGCGCUGAGGGUUUGCCAUCCCCUCAGUUUGCAGGCUAAAGCAUCAGCCCAAACCACUGCUCCUUACACUUUUAAAAGAAAACCCCUUAGGUAAUGCAUAUUUUCAAAUAUGAGGCAAAUCUCAAUUAUGCACACUUAAUCAUAGGUUAAGGUUUUUGGUAAGUAAAAUAUUCUUAUUUUAUAAAGGAUGUUUAUUUUGGAAUCUUCUUUGAUUUAAAAAAUGUGUUGCUCGAAUAUGUGCUGUUUGCUCAAAGAAGAAAACAAAGUCUUCAGAAAUGGCAACAAAACAAACAAAAAAGCGAAAAAGCUCUUGAGGAAACAGCUUUUCAUUGACCUUCUAAAUAAAUUCCACAAGGGGGCGAAAACACCUAAUGGUCCGGGGCUGCAAAGUUUUUAUUGCAAAGCUGGCCACCCAUAAUAGAUUAGUGGAUUAAUAUUUUUCUCUAAAGGAUCUGGCCUUUAAUGUUGACAUCAAUUUAUAGCCAUCCCAGGCGUUUACAGUAGUAAAAGUCAUGGAGACCAUAAACUUCACAAUAGAUGUCAGCCUUCUGCUACUAGUGCUCUAGCCCAGCACCCCAUAAACAGUGGUGAUUAGGUAACUGUUCUUCAAAGACCCAUCCAUAGCUCUAACGUCUUUAUCAGCUCCCGCAAAGAUACUGUCACGAGGAUUUUAUCAGGCACAAGACAGAAGUAUACGUUUUUAUUAAUGUGGACUUAUUUUUCUGACAUGUAGCUAUGAGGUUGCACUGCAGCUUAUCAUUGAUCUCUUCUUGAAAAUCAAGCAUGGAGUGUCUAUUUUUGGGCAAAGCUUAAAGAACAGAAGCUCUCUUGUAUCAUAUUAGAACUUUUUGACAAACAGCCAAGGUACAGAGGUCAAAUUUCCCCAUAUGCUAUAAGCAACUUAGUAGGAAGCAAGACCACAAAAGGUUUUGCAAAUGUCUGCCAGUAGCCGGGUGAUCUAGGUCACUGUACAGGUUUCAUUAAUCAGGUUGUUGAAACAAGGAGUUAUUUUUCUCUGCUUAAGAGACCUGCAGAUAUCAUGUAGAAUCUGCUCAAUUGUUGAUCAAGAAAGAGUUUUUAAUGAAACAGAGAUCACUCAAGUGAACUGGGGUGCGGGAGCGUUUGUAUUUGUACUGAAGACAAAUUGUGCUUUUUAGCCCAGCUCCUCUGUUUGAGUCCUCUGUUCUGGUAGGGAUGGGCUCAAGAUCUAAUAAUAGUUCCUUGGGCUCUGCAUCUCCACAUACGUGUUCCGGCGUUUGAGCAGCAGGAGGAAUUUAGUGACAGAGCAGGUGUUGUGGCUUAUUCCCUGGCAGAAUAAAUGGUGAAGGGUGGUGGCAAGACAAUUCUUUGGCUUCUUUAUGCAAAAAAAAAAAAAAAAAUGCAUUUAAUCACUUUCCUUUUUUCCUGGCACUAGUGAAAAAGGAUUGGAGUUGCUGUAUUAAUAUGUAUGCAAACAUAUUUUUUCACUUAAGCCUCUGGAAAAAAAAAAGAGAGAGAGAGAAAGAAAAACUUACUGUGAAAAUGCUUAGCCAGAAAGAUUCAUUGCUGAUUGCAGAUUUAGUAUUGACAUGUCUUAGCUGAAGAAAACUUCAGCUUUAACUAUUAAUGUGGAAAUCUGGAUCAGCUUUUAAAGUAGGGUAAAAAGAGUUUUGGAUGAUUCAGUAUAUUUAUUUGAACAUAAUUUUAAAGAAGAAAGUGUCAAUUAUAGAGGUAUAUAAAAAACCCAGUGGAGUGUGUGCAUUUUAAUUUUACAUGGCCUACCUUGGAAAUAAAAUUAUAAAAUGCAGGUGAUCUGAAUUAUACUUAAAGCAGCCUUUAUGCCCAACUUACUCUCUCAUAACACUUCUAAAUAUCCGCUCCUCCUGAUUUCUUAUAAAAUAUGGAAUUUAAGAUGAGAAUCGGAGUCUAAAUGAAAUGUUCUUUUAAAGCAUUAUUUAUAAGAUUUUCCUCAACCUACAUUUUUUACUUCCCCUAGUAAGUUGCGUACAAAAGUCUGUAUUUUUUCUUGAAGGUAGGUGUGUUGCUCUUAUAAACAUAAGAUAAGCCAUGAAAACAUGAAAAACAAAAUUCCUUCUCCUUCCACCUGGGAUAAUUUGAGAUUUUCACAAUAUUACUUUUUCCUUUGCUUGAUUAUAUAAGGCAAAACUUGAUACCCACUUAGUUGUAGCUAUGGUCUUCUUGAUAAGACAUCUAUCCAGGUAAAAUUAAAGUAUAAUUUUCAGGUGAUUUGCAUCCCAUGCAUGCAACAGGAAAACUCAGAAUUCAGGAAAACAGGGCAUGCUUAAGAGGGAACAUCUUGUAAAGACUGUAAUUUGACCUUUGAGUCAACCUGAGUACAUUUUAAAUAUUAUAGGACAAAAGCCUCAAAGUGGAAUUCUGCCUCAUCUUUCUCAGAACUAUAAACCAGUCAGACACUGUUUCAGAGAUUACGCUAGAAAAUAUGUACCUAUCCUUGGCACUUUUUAUUGCAAACCUUUCUAACUCUGGAGUACACUUGAUAUGAUGGCAAUUAAGAAAAAAAAAAAAGCAGUGACAACUUUGCAGCUUUUGAUUAAAGCACACCAAGAGGCAUGUUACAAUGAUAACAAUGAAGCAUUAUGCCAAUUAUGUUAAAUCCUGCUCUCCGCUUAAGCUCAUCAUGACCUGUUUUAGUGUCCUGUAAUUUAUCCUUUGGAAUGCUUACUCUCAUCAAUAGUGUUCAACUCAAAGACGGGGGGAAAAAAGCCACCAAAGGGAACAACCACCCCCAAAUGACUUCUAGAAAACAAGUUAUUUCUUAACUUUUUAUUGACAUUGGCAAAUUAAAAUAGAAUAAAUUAACAAGUAUUUUUUCAAAAAAA
rnacentral:lncRNA from 1 species